rnacentral:tRNA from 1 species
NNCGGGCUAGCUCAAUCGGUAGAGCGUGAGACUCUUAAUCUCAAGGUUGCGGGUUCGACCCCCGCGUUCGGCU